AAGAUCCCGAGAGGUGGGUGGUCCCGUUCCCCCAGUGUUCAGACUACGUGUUCGUUGGACAGAACCUGAACAGUAGUCUACACACUGGUUAAACUGGGCCAUGCGGUCAACUGCUGCACAU
rnacentral:pre_miRNA from 14 species